GAAUUAAAUUGUAAAAUACGAGAUUUAAAGAGAUGGCACUUAGUUUUGAUCGAUUUUUAAGUCAAACAUUGAGCAAGUACAUAACGAAGAGACAUGUGACCAAUGCCAUAAGUCAGUUUAAAGAUCUCCGCCCAUUAUACAAUUUUUUUAAUUUCAAUGAUGGCAAAAGCAAAGACCUGCUCACUUUGGAUGGAGCAAUACCUGUCCAAUUCAAAGGU